rnacentral:tRNA from 1 species
GUGUCUUAGUUGGUUAAGUGUCUGACUUUGGCUCAGGUCAUGAUCUCACGGUUCGUGGGUUCAAGCCCCACC